rnacentral:lncRNA from 1 species
CAUGUUAGUUAUUUUUGGACUACUUAUUGUACUGCUUUUACUCGUCAAGAAUACGAGAAACUGUUUGAAACCAAUACAAUGUUUUGUUACGAAACUGGUGGCUUUCUUUUUUUUUAUACCUUUGGCAUAACAAUCUAGUGUUCAAUUAUAUAUGACUUCACACACCAAUACAACCGUUAUUUUAGUUACCGAAUGCACUACAAAAAUUGAAGAAUAAGUCUGAAAUCGGCCUGAAAUAUUGAGUAGCUCUUUUCUUCGGGCCAGUCAUCUGCUUGACAUUUGUUUGAGUUCUUUUUCUUUUCAUUUUCGCUUUCCUGUGUACCUGGGGCACCUUCUGUUUCUUGUAAAGUUUUUCUCUCUAGUUAAUAAAAUGGAAGGACCCUUGCUAAGUUGUCAAAAAAGAAACGGAGAAAAUAUGGUUUCUUAGCCAUUAUUGUGGGCUAAGAGACAACACCUAAGGGACAAUGCAUUGGGAUUUGGGAGUGGCGAGCCGUAUGUGCCGCGCGAAUGUCGCAUACAGAAAGAAAUAUUAUACAUGUACGCUCAGGGCAAGGAAGUUCUCACAUACUGGUCCUUUCCAAGUUACAACCUAGUUUUUUUUUUUGCAAAUAACUUAUCUGUAUCCAUCUAGUAAGUAUGGGCUUACCAAAUGAAGCAUGAUGUCCUUGACUGAAAGGUUAGGAUAUUCAAAAUACUUAAUAAAUGUCCUCGUUGAAAGGUGCCUCUUCGACUUGAUAUAAACAAGAGAUCCAAAAAAAACUCGUCGUGGUUUGCACUAAAACCACGACAAGUAUUUAGAGUACUACUUACAAGAAUAAGUGCUUACGUCGUUGCGCGAUAGAAUUCUUUCACAUGUCGCUGAUGUUGGACGCCUGUGUUGAGAUUCGCAGUUCUAGCCUUCCAGGUAGGGGUCAUGGGCUUAAGGUCUACUCGUACCUUGUCCAGUUAACCAGGUCGAAUUGUUUGUAAAUUUGUUUUUUGGAAGAGAUAUGGAUCGGUGAAGGUACGAGUAUCGGUACUACAAUAACAA